UGAAGUCAUUGAUGCCAUGCUUCCGGGAAAAGCCUCUAAGCUUCAGAUAGUAAGGAAUCGUACCCCAAACCGACACAGGUGGUCGGGUAGAGAAUACCAAGGCGCUUGAGAGAACUCGGGUGAAGGAACUAGGCAAAAUGGUACCGUAACUUCGGGAGAAGGUACGCUGCCGGCGGUGAAGAGACUUGCUCUUGGAGCUGCUGGCAGUCGCAGAUACCAGGUGGCUGCAACUGUUUAUUAAAAACACAGCACUGUGCAAAAUCGAAAGAUGACGUAUACGGUGUGACGCCUGCCCGGUGCCGGAAGGUUAAUUGAUGGGGUUAGACUUCGGUCGAAGCUCUUGAUCGAAGCCCCGGUAAACGGCGGCCGUAACUAUAACGGUCCUAAGGUAGCGAAAUUCCUUGUCGGGUAAGUUCCGACCUGCACGAAUGGCGUAAUGAUGGCCACGCUGUCUCCACCCGAGACUCAGUGAAAUUGAAAUCGCAGUGAAGAUGCUGCGUACCCGCGGCUAGACGGAAAGACCCCGUGAACCUUUACUACAGCUUGGCACUGAACAUUGACCCUACAUGUGUAGGAUAGGUGGGAGGCUUUGAAGCGCAGUCGCUAGAUUGCGUGGAGCCGUCCUUGAAAUACCACCCUUGUAGUGUUGAUGUUCUAACGUCGCCCCGUUAUCCGGGGUGCGGACAGUGCCUGGUGGGUAGUUUGACUGGGGCGGUCUCCUCCCAAAGCGUAACGGAGGAGCACGAAGGUGGGCUAAUCACGGUCGGACAUCGUGAGGUUAGUGCAAUGGCAUAAGCCCGCUUGACUGCGAGAAUGACGGUUCGAGCAGGUGCGAAAGCAGGUCAUAGUGAUCCGGUGGUUCUGUAUGGAAGGGCCAUCGCUCAACGGAUAAAAGGUACUCCGGGGAUAACAGGCUGAUACCGCCCAAGAGUUCAUAUCGACGGCGGUGUUUGGCACCUCGAUGUCGGCUCAUCACAUCCUGGGGCUGAAGUCGGUCCCAAGGGUAUGGCUGUUCGCCAUUUAAAGUGGUACGCGAGCUGGGUUUAGAACGUCGUGAGACAGUUCGGUCCCUAUCUGCCGUGGGCGUUGGAUGAUUGAGAGGGGCUGCUCCUAGUACGAGAGGACCGGAGUGGACGAACCUCUGGUGUUCGGGUUGUGUCGCCAGACGCAUUGCCCGGUAGCUAAGUUCGGAAUCGAUAACCGCUGAAAGCAUCUAAGCGGGAAGCGAGCCUC
rnacentral:rRNA from 1 species